AGCGAAGAAGAACCGUGCAGCGGUUAGGCAAAGCUUGCGGUCAUAACUAGAGCUGCGUCCGAAAUCGCAUACUUCCAUACUAUAUAGUAGGCGAAAAACAGUAUGCGAAGCAAGUAGUAUGUCCGAAUUCUUAGAAUUCGAAAAACAGUAUGCGAGAUGUACCCGGAUGGCCUACUACUUCCGGCCGAAUUCCGUAGUAUGCAUAGGAUGGACACUACUCUAUCCCAUGAGGCCACGGGAGAGGACUCGUCAUACUCAUAUUCGAAAAUAACGGCAAAUCGUGACGCCGCUGUUUUGAAGUAGACUGAUGAAUACAAUCUUGUUCUCAUCCACUGAUUAAACCCUAUCCACUGGAAAGCAUAUUUCAGUAAUCUGCUCUUGAAGAGCUGCACAUGGUCAUCUGGUGUGACACAGCUGUGCUCAGAUUGUCCCGCACAUGCUCUCCUGUGCUGACUUCUGUGUUUUGGGGUUCCAGUGUAUCAUCGUCAUGAUCUUCCACAACUUCUGGAUCAGCAAUGUCCUCAUUCAGAAGACCGAGGUGGUGGAGCACUGCACAGCAUGCAACAACAUCUGCACAAAGGCAGAACUCACUUCCAGGGCCUUGAAGAAGAAGAUGGAGCACAGCUGGUCUGCAUUAUCCUGAAGGCUCUCUCAACAAUGUUCUGUGCAUGAGCAUCAUUGGUGUUGAAUCAAAGCUGUGCAGGAUUGUGUUCAGACUCUCUGUCUGCUGUGAUGAGGCAGAUGUGUGCACUCAAACAAGGAUACCCACCAUCUCCCAGGAUGUGUUUUCCUGCAGGUGGAUAGGCCUCCAGUGUUCUUCAGCACCCUGGCAUCAUACACAGACCCAGGAUACUCUACAAACAUAUCAAGGUACUUACCAUGGUGGUGACCUGCAGCUGAACAGAAUGAAACCGCUUCCUGUUGAAAUAACAUUGGGCUUCACUUGCUGGAGUUUCAAUUUGUAUGUGACAGCCAUCUAUUGUGUCAGCUACCAGAAGAAAACUGCUUCCACUGCCCCCAGGUCAUCUGUGGUGAAGAAGGCAAUCAGCCUCCUCAAAAUCCCCAUGACAGACCUGCUCAUUCUGUGCACAAUGUUAUGCAGCUCUUGGAUGUCGAAGGCCAGUGACAGCAGCCUGUAUGACGCUGUUCACAGUCUGUUAAUAUGUAGUUUUUGUUUUUUAGAAUAAAAUUUCAAUAGGUUACAAAUUUUUUUGCUGAUAUAUCUAAAUCUUAACUAUAUGUAUUUACAUAUGUGUGUAUAUUGUCUAUAAUGUAUAUAUUAUGUAUGUAUU